AGAGUUUGAUCCUGGCUCAGGACGAACGCUGGCGGCGCGCCUAACACAUGCAAGUCGAACGGAGCUUAGAGAGCUUGCUUUUUAAGCUUAGUGGCGAACGGGUGAGUAACGCGUGAGUAACCUGCCCUGGAGUGGGGGACAACAGUUGGAAACGACUGCUAAUACCGCAUAAGCCCACGGCCCGGCAUCGGGCUGAGGGAAAAGGAUUUAUUCGCUUCAGGAUGGACUCGCGUCCAAUUAGCUAGUUGGUGAGGUAACGGCCCACCAAGGCGACGAUUGGUAGCCGGACUGAGAGGUUGAACGGCCACAUUGGGACUGAGACACGGCCCAGACUCCUACGGGAGGCAGCAGUGGGGGAUAUUGCACAAUGGGGGAAACCCUGAUGCAGCGACGCCGCGUGGAGGAAGAAGGUUUUCGGAUUGUAAACUCCUGUCGUUAGGGACGAUAAUGACGGUACCUAACAAGAAAGCACCGGCUAACUACGUGCCAGCAGCCGCGGUAAAACGUAGGGUGCAAGCGUUGUCCGGAAUUACUGGGUGUAAAGGGAGCGCAGGCGGACCGGCAAGUUGGAAGUGAAAACUAUGGGCUCAACCCAUAAAUUGCUUUCAAAACUGCUGGCCUUGAGUAGUGCAGAGGUAGGUGGAAUUCCCGGUGUAGCGGUGGAAUGCGUAGAUAUCGGGAGGAACACCAGUGGCGAAGGCGACCUACUGGGCACCAACUGACGCUGAGGCUCGAAAGCAUGGGUAGCAAACAGGAUUAGAUACCCUGGUAGUCCAUGCCGUAAACGAUGAUUACUAGGUGUUGGAGGAUUGACCCCUUCAGUGCCGCAGUUAACACAAUAAGUAAUCCACCUGGGGAGUACGACCGCAAGGUUGAAACUCAAAGGAAUUGACGGGGGCC
rnacentral:rRNA from 1 species